rnacentral:rRNA from 1 species
AAACUGUGGGGACAUUUGUGGAGAGCACAGGCGCGGAACGGAAAGCCGCGUGCAAGCGAAGGAGGAGUCACAUAGGAAAAACCGUGUGGCAAUCCAAAGGCGUGAUGCGGACCGAACUAAAGUAGGGAAGUGUGUGAGCCAUGAACCAAGAAAAGCCGCUAUUGUUUUUAAGAUACCCGUACCGUAAACCGACACAGGUGGAUGAGGAGAGAAUCCUAAGGCCGGCGGAAGAAGCAUUGUUAAGGAACUCGGCAAAAUGACCCCGUAACUUCGGGAGAAGGGGUGCCAACGAGAGUUGGCCGCAGAGAAUAGGCUCAAGCAACUGUUUAGCAAAAACACAGGUCUAUGCAAAACCGUAAGGUGAGGUAUAUGGGCUGACGCCUGCCCGGUGCUGGAAGGUUAAGAGGAGAGGUUAGCGCAAGCGAAGCUUUGAAUUUAAGCCCCAGUAAACGGCGGCCGUAACAAUAACGGUCCUAAGGUAGCGAAAUUCCUUGUCGGGUAAGUUCCGACCCGCACGAAAGGCGUAAUGAUUUGAGCGCUGUCUCGACAAUGCAUCCGGUGAAAUUGAAGUACCAGUGAAGAUGCUGGUUACCCGCGCCAGGACGGAAAGACCCCAUGGAGCUUUACUCCAGUUUGGUACUGGGGUCCGGCAGUGCAUGUACAGGAUAGGUGGGAGGCUGAGAACCUGGAACGCCAGUUUCAGGGGAGCCAUUGUUGGGAUACCACCCUUGUGCUGCUGGGCUUCUAACCAGCGGCCUUUAUCAGGCCGGGGGACAAUGCCAGACGGGGAGUUUGACUGGGGCGGUCGCCUCCGAAAGGGUAUCGGAGGCGCUCAAAGGUUCCCUCAGAAUGGUCGGAAACCAUUCGAAGAGUGCAAAGGCAGAAGGGAGCUUGACUGCGACACCGACGGGUGGAGCAGGUACGAAAGUAGGACUUAGUGAUCCGGUGGUAUUAAGUGGGAAUGCCAUCGCUCAACGGAUAAAAGCUACCCUGGGAUAACAGGCUUAUCACUCCCAAGAGUUCACAUCGACGGAGUGGUUUGGCACCUCGGUGUCGGCUCAUCGCAUCCUGGGGCUGUAGUAGGUCCCAAGGGUUGGGCUGUUCGCCCAUUAAAGCGGUACGCGAGCUGGGUUCAGAACGUCGUGAGACAGUUCGGUCCCUAUCCGGCGUGGGCGUAGGAUAUUUGAGAGGAGCUGUCCUUAGUACGAGAGGACCGGGAUGGACUGACCUCUGGUGUACCGGUUGAACCGCCAGGUUCACGGCCGGGUAGCCAAGUCGGGAAGGGAUAAACGCUGAAGGCAUCUAAGCGUGAAGCCCCCCUCAAGAUGAGAUAUCCCAUUCGAAAGAAGUAAGACCCCUUGAAGACGACGAGGUAGAUAGGGCAGAGGUGGAAGUGCCGUAAGGCAUGGAGCUGACUGUUACUAAUCGGUCGAGGGCUUGACC